AACGAACGCUGGCGGCAUGCCUAACACAUGCAAGUCGAACGAGACCUUCGGGUCUAGUGGCGCACGGGUGCGUAACGCGUGGGAAUCUGCCCUUGGGUUCGGAAUAACAGUUAGAAAUGACUGCUAAUACCGGAUAAUGUCUUCGGACCAAAGAUUUAUCGCCCAGGGAUGAGCCCGCGUAGGAUUAGCUAGUUGGUGAGGUAAAGGCUCACCAAGGCGACGAUCCUUAGCUGGUCUGAGAGGAUGAUCAGCCACACUGGGACUGAGACACGGCCCAGACUCCUACGGGAGGCAGCAGUGGGGAAUAUUGGACAAUGGGCGAAAGCCUGAUCCAGCAAUGCCGCGUGAGUGAUGAAGGCCUUAGGGUUGUAAAGCUCUUUUACCCGGGAUAAUAAUGACAGUACCGGGAGAAUAAGACCCCGGCCUAAACUCCGUGCCAGCAGCCGCGGUAA
rnacentral:rRNA from 1 species